UCAUUUUGCUCAGUGCAGAGUGGCCAAAAGCUAGUUGUAUUGGGAAAAAGAGAAACAGAGAGGAGAGAAAGAAGGAAAGAAAAGAGAAAGAGAAAAAAAAAAGGGAAGAAAAAGAAAAAAAAAACGAAAAAAAAAAAAAAGAAGAAAAAGAGAAAGAAAAAGAAAGGAGAAAAAAAAGGGGGUGGGGGAAGGAAACAAAUCAAAAAGCAAAACAAAACAAAAACAAAAACAAAAACAAAAACAAACAAAAAAAGAACCACCGGGGAGUAUCUUCUGAUUCUGUGUACUUUAAGUCCCUUGGCUUCUCCUGGAAGUUGUCCGUCUAGCUGGUGUUCUGGGGGAGGGGCCUGUUGUGCUGAUUUUCAGGUGUUAGCAGUUGGGGGAGCUGCUGUGCCCCUGCCUGGUGCAGGGCUCAGUGGGGGUUGUUUACCCCGUGAGGCCGCAAGAGGAACAGCCCCAGUGGCGGGGCAGCUCUGGAAACCUGGAUUCAGCUCGGGCAGGAACUCCGUCUGCAGGGCCUGGAGGCUCCGGGGCGGGGCCGCUGAUCUGCUCAGCUGGGGCAGGAGCGUCCUCGCUGUCCUGGGCCCUCCCGGCCUCUGCCUGUCCCGGGGGGAGGCCGGAUCCUGGGCUGUGUCCGGGCGCCCUGUGCUCCGGAGCCUGUGCUGGUGGAUUCGCGCUCCCGGGCCGCGCAGCCCCCUCCGCGGAGCCGCCGCCCGAGCCCCCCCGAGCUGCUCCUGGAACCGCGCAGCCCCCUCCGCACGGAGCCUCUUCCUCUGCCCGAGCCCCUCCGAGCUGCUCCGGGUCCCGCCGUGCGCGCUGCAGCCCUUAGGGAGCUCGGCGCACUCUCCUGGGCGCGCAGUUGCUGUUACUGUCCCGGGGAACCCGAGGGCAUCCCCGCCCUCCUGGGUCCUGCUCCACCUCCCUGCGAGCCCCUUUCCCCCGGGAAGGUCGGUGCGGCUCCUGCUCCUCCGGGACGGGGCUCUCCUGUCCUGGGGACACUCGCCCCGGCCUCAGCCCGGCUCCUCGCGGGGCCCCUCCCCCUUGGAGGCCUUUGUGUCUUUACUUCUUUUUCCCCGUCUUCCUACCUUGAGAGAAGCGCGAACUCUUCUCACUGUUGCAUUCCAGCUGGUCUCUCUUUAA
rnacentral:lncRNA from 1 species